rnacentral:tRNA from 3 species
AGGGACUUAAGUUAAUCAGACUAAGGGCCUUCAAAGCCCUAAGAAGGAGUUAAAAUCUCCUAGACCCUG